GAUGAACGCUGGCGGCGUGCCUAAUACAUGCAAGUCGAGCGGACAGACGAUGAGCUUGCUCCUCUGACGUUAGCGGCGGACGGGUGAGUAACACGUGGAUAACCUACCUAUAAGACUUGGAUAACUUCGGGAAACCGGAGCUAAUACCGGAUAAUAUAUUGAACCGCAUGGUUCAAUAGUGAAAGACGGUUUUGCUGUCACUUAUAGAUGGAUCCGCGCCGCAUUAGCUAGUUGGUAAGGUAACGGCUUACCAAGGCGACGAUGCGUAGCCGACCUGAGAGGGUGAUCAGCCACACUGGAACUGAGACACGGUCCAGACUCCUACGGGAGGCAGCAGUAGGGAAUCUUCCGCAAUGGGCGCAAGCCUGACGGAGCAACGCCGCGUGAGUGAUGAAGGUCUUCGGAUCGUAAAGCUCUGUUAUUAGGGAAGAACAAAUGUGUAAGUAACUAUGCACGUCUUGACGGUACCUAAUCAGAAAGCCACGGCUAACUACGUG
rnacentral:rRNA from 1 species